GGGCAGGACCUGGCCUGGAGUCUGGUUGGCCGUGGGGAGGCCACGGAAUGGUAGCUGUGGUUUGCUGUACAGGGCUGCAACCAGAAGAAACAGCAACCACACAAUGAGAUAUUUCUAACACUCAGAUUGUAUGCUGCUGGGACCAGAGAGAAGAGCGCUGGCCGUGGCUGCCACAGAACAAAGACGUCCUUCUCCAAGCUUGCCAGAAGAUCCCAUUUCCCCCUCUCAUGCCACCUUCCAUCCUGAUGGCUGCAUUUGUUGGAUAUAAUCUAGAACUCCUGCCUACUCCCACAACACAGAUGGCAAUCAGUUCCAACCUGAGUUCAACAAGUGAAUGCUGGAGAUGAUGUUUGAAAUAAUUUGCAUGAACCGCUGCAGACAGUGAACAAAACCACUGAAAGACAUGAUCUUCCC
rnacentral:lncRNA from 1 species